rnacentral:lncRNA from 1 species
AUUCACACAUGCUAGGCAAGCACUCUGUCACUGAGCUACAGCCUUAGAUGCCUUUUUGAACAGUGUAAUGGUCAGCAAGGCUGUGGCACUGACCUUACUCAUGAAUCUUUUUGAAGGGGUCUAGUGAUACAGGGAUGGAAGCUGGGAGUAAAUUUAAGAUAACUAGUGAUAAAAAUAAAUGGAUGUCUUAGAGCAGGGGUGAGGGAAUAUGACUCUGCCUCCCAAAAUAUAACUAAUAACUGGAAAAGCCUGCUUUUGGUUUUCUAAUUUCUUAUGGCAUUUAAUGGAAAAAAACCAUCUAAUGGUUUUUUCACUAAGGAUCUGAGAGAUUAAAUACAAAACACAGAAAAUAAUUCACAUAGUAUUAAACUUACCUUGCAAGUAGAAAAGCCUUUUAAAACUGUUAAAUAUGUGGAUUAUAUGUUACAUUCACAUGGAGUUCAUUUUAUACUGAUUAUGUCAUUUUCUUCCUGAUAACAGACAUAAUGAUGGUUGACACCUGUUCCGGACAAUGUCAGUGAGAUGACUCUUUAAACCCUUAAGGUUCAGCAGAGUGGAAGAAGUGUGGAUUCUUUGCAUGCUUGUGUGAUUCACAAACUUCACUGAGGCCUUUAACUGAGAUUUCCAUUCUUUCCCCCUUCCAGUCUCCUUAAAAUCUUUUUUUUUUGGGGGGAAUGGGUAUUAGGGACUGAACUUAGGGGCACUUGACCACUUAGCCACCUCCCUAGCCCUAUUUUGUAUUUUAUUUAGAGACAGGGUCUCACUGAGUUGCUUAGUGCCUCGAUGUUGCUGAGGCUGGCCUUGGACUUGAAAUCUUCCUGCUUCAGCCUCCUGAGCCCCUGGGAUUACAGGUGUGUGCUACCGUGCUAGGCUCAAUCUUCUUAAAAUCUGACAGCUAACUGCAGAUUUUUAAAAUAAUAUUAAUGAGAGAUAAUUGAUAUACAAUAAACAUGGAGCACAUUUAAAGUAUACAAUUUGCAAAGUUUUGACAUACACCCUCCACACUGAAACCAUUGCUUUGAUUAAGUGAAUAUGUCCAUCACUUUCAAGUUUCUCUCCUGCCCCUUUAUAACUUCCUCCCUACCUUACACACCUAAGCAACAACAGGUCUACUUUCUGUUAGUAUGGAUUCAUCUGCAUUUUCUAAAGUUUUAUAUAAAUGAAAUCACAAAUGUAUCCUUUUUUGGUCUGUUUUUUUUCACUCAUUUUCUGUGUACAAUAGUUCAUUCUUUUUUAAAAAAAUAUUUAUUUUUUUGUUGUAGUUGGACACAAUACCUUUAUUUUAUUUAUUUUCAUGUGGUGCUGAGGAUCAAACCCAGGGCCCAUGCAUGUGCUAGGCGAGCGCUCUACUACCAGGCCACAACCCUAGCCCAGUAGUUCAUUCUUUUAUUAUUACAAAGUGUAUUCCAUUGUGUGGAUGUACUACAAUUUAUCCACUUAAUCAGCUGGUGAACGUUUAGCCUGUGUUUAGUUUCAAGCUAUUAACUUAUGGAGCUACUGUGAACAUUUGUGUGCAAGGAAAUAUAUAUGUACAUAUUUCUUUUCUUUUUUUGAUAACUAAAAGUGGAAUGGCUGGUUCCUGUAGAAGGUGUGCUUUUAAUUUUCUAAGAAAUUUUUAUAUUUUCCAGAGUGGUUGUAUCUCUUUAUAUUUCCAUCAGGAAGCCUGCAGGGACUCCAACUCUGCCAUACUUUGCAUGGCCUUCCCUUCAAAUCUCAGUGGAAGCCUCCAUGAUCCCCAAACUCCAGCAUCCUACAUUCCCACAGAAUAAUCACCAUGUAGAUGAUGCCAAGGUCUCCUGCCUGCUCAUGUAAUACCUGGGCCCCUUGGAAUAUUGCCUGCAGUGGUCUCUGAGUGCCUGCACAGUUAAGCAUGGUGAAACAACUUUCUAUGCCCCUCUGAGUGAGCAUGGCACCCCCCAGAAUCUCUUUUCAAGUGAAUUUUCCCCUUCUGUGCCCUGAAGCCUAUAGUUGGUAUGAUUUUGCAAAUUCCUGAGAUGCCCCUAACCAUCAUUUCUAUUAUUUCUAUGCAAAGUACAUAGCAUCUCUUUAGGGGCUGCAAUCUCUUCAAAAAGAACAACUUUUUUGACCCCAGUUUUACAAGCACUUUUCUGGUCAAACUGUAAAAGUUAGAACUUCUUUAGAUCUCUUUCCUGCUCCUUAUUCUCACAGUAAAUCUGGCUAAAAUCUGCCAGCAGUAUCCAUGCUACUGAUUGAAAUUUGUUGUCCUGAAAUUUCUUCUGCCAGGUUAAUUAAUACAUCACCUUUAAAUUCAGCCUCACACAAAGUCUCAGGAUAUGGGCAAAAUGUAGCCAAGUUCUUUGCCAGAAUAUAAUAUAAGUGGCCUCUACUCUAAUUUCCAAUAGUGUCCUCAUUUCCUCUGAAACCUCAUAAGUAAAAUCUGCAUUUCUGUCACCAUUCUGGUCUUCUGAACUCCCCCUUUAAUCACCCUUCUUAAUCACCCUUUAAGCUCAGCUUACAUUAUAAAGCUUUUUCCAGCCUGUAUGUACAAACUUUUCAAAAUUUCUCCCUCCAAACAGUUCCGAAGGCUUCUGAAUCACAUGGUCAGGUUAGUCAUGGCAACAACCCCACUUCUUGGAACCAGUUUCUGUUUUAGUUAGCUUUUGCAUUUCUGUGACCAAAAGAGCAACUUAGUGGAGUAACUUAGAGGGGGCUCAUGGCUUCAGAGGUCCAUGGAUGGCUGACUCCUUUGAUCUGGAACCAAGGUGAAGCAGCACAUCAUGGGAGAAAGGUCCAGCAGAGAAAAGCUGCUCAACUUAUGGUGUGGUCAGGAAGCAAAGGGAGAGGAAGGACCACAGGAAGAAAAACCCUUCUAGGGAAUACCCGCAAUGACCCAUCUCCUCCAGCUACUGCACUACAUGCCUAUAGUUACCACCCAGACCUUUCGAAUGAGUGUGAAAUGAUUAGGUUAUAGCUUUCACAACCCAGUCAUUUCACUUUAGAGUAUUCCUGCAUUAAUAGGAGUUUUGUGGAACACCUCAUACCCAAACCAUAACAGCAUCUUUUCAUGGGUUUAUAUGCCAUCUGAAUUUCUUUUAGAGUCUAAUCAGAUCUUCAUUUCAUUUUUUACAAAAAAUGGAUUGCUUAUUUUCUUAAAUUUUGAAAGUUUUAAAAAAUAUAUCCUGGAUACAAGGCCUUUGUCAGAUAAAUGCUUUGUAAAUAUUGUCUCCCAGUAUGUAGUUUGUCUUUUCGUUCUCUUAACAGUGUGUUUUGAAGAGAAGUUUAAAUUUUUUUUUUUUUUUUUUGUGUGUGUGUGUGUGUGUAUGGUGUUAGGGAUUGAACCCAGCGCCUUGUGCAUGUAAGACAAGCGCUCUACCAACUGAUCUUUA